GGGGGGGGGGGGGGGGGGGGGGGGGGGGGGGGGGGGGGGGGGGGGGGGGGGGCUGGCGGGGGGAGGCAGCGGCGGGGGGGGGAGGAAGGCCUAGGAAGCGGCCUGGUAGGGGGGGAUGACGACGGGAGACGGGCGGGACGACCUCACACGUCGUGAGGGGGAUAGUGGGGGCUCGUCGGACCUCACGCUACCCGAAUAGCCUAGGUCGGAUGAGCUAGUUGGUGGGGUAAAUGACUACCAAGGCGACGAUCCGUAACUGGUCUGAGAGGAUGAUCAGUCACACUGGAACUGAGACACGGUCCAGACUCCUACGGGAGGCAGCAGUGGGGAAUAUUGGACAAAGGGCGAAAGCCUGAUCCAGCCAUGCCGCGUGUGUGAAGAAGGUCUUCGGAUUGUAAAGCACUUUAAGUUGGGAGGAAGGGCAGUAAGUUAAUACCUUGCUGUUUUGACGUUACCAACAGAAUAAGCACCGGCUAACUUCGUG
rnacentral:rRNA from 1 species